UGGGGAAUAUUGGACAAUGGGCGCAAGCCUGAUCCAGCAAUGCCGCGUGUGUGAAGAAGGCCUUCGGGUUGUAAAGCACUUUUAUCGGGAGCGAAAUACCAUUGGUUAAUAACCGGUGGGGCUGACGGUACCCGAGGAAUAAGCACCGGCUAACUUCGUGCCAGCAGCCGCGGUAAUACGAAGGGUGCAAGCGUUAAUCGGAAUUACUGGGCGUAAAGGGUGCGUAGGCGGUUCGUUAAGUCUGUUGUGAAAUCCCCGGGCUCAACCUGGGAAUGGCAAUGGAUACUGGCGAGCUAGAGUGUGUCAGAGGAUGGUGGAAUUCCCGGUGUAGCGGUGAAAUGCGUAGAGAUCGGGAGGAACAUCAGUGGCGAAGGCGGCCAUCUGGGACAACACUGACGCUGAAGCACGAAAGCGUGGGGAGCAAACA
rnacentral:rRNA from 1 species